UACGUAGGGGGCAAGCGUUGUCCGGAUUUAUUGGGCGUAAAGCGCUCGCAGGUGGUCCGCUGCGUCGUGCGUGAAAGACCCCGGCUCAACUGGGGAGUGUCGUGCGAUACGGGCGGACUGGAGGCCAGUAGGGGGAUGCGGAAUUCCGGGUGUAGUGGUGGAAUGCGUAGAGAUCCGGAGGAACACCAGCGGCGAAGGCGGCAUCCUGGACUGGUCCUGACACUCAGGAGCGAAA
rnacentral:rRNA from 1 species